rnacentral:rRNA from 1 species
CCUACGGGUGGCAGCAGUAGGGAAUCUUCCACAAUGGACGAAAGUCUGAUGGAGCAACGCCGCGUGAGUGAAGAGUGUUUCGGCUCGUAAAGCUCUGUUGGUAGUGGAGAAAGAUAGAGGUAGGAACUGGCCUUUAUUUGACGGUAAUUACUUAGAAAGUCACGGCUAACUACGUGCCAGCAGCCGCGGUAAUACGGAGGUGGCAAGCGUUGUCCGGAUUUAUUUGGCGUAAAGCGAGUGCAGGCGGUUCAAUAAGUCUGAUGUGAAAGCUUUCGGCUCAACCGGAGAAUUGCAGUAGAAACUGUUGAACUUGAGUGCAGAAGAGGAGAGUGGAAUUCCAGGUGUAGCGGUGGAAUGCGUAGAUAUAUGGAAGAACACCAGUGGCGAAGGCGGCUCUCUGGUCUGCAACUGACGCUGAGGCUCGAAAGUAUGGGUAGCGAACAGGAUUAGAUACCCUUGUAGUC